UGGGGAAUAUUGCACAAUGGGCGCAAGCCUGAUGCAGCCAUGCCGCGUGUGUGAAGAAGGCCUUCGGGUUGUAAAGCACUUUCAGCGAGGAGGAAGGUGGUGAACUUAAUACGUUCAUCAAUUGACGUUACUCGCAGAAGAAGCACCGGCUAACUCCGUGCCAGCAGCCGCGGUAAUACGGAGGGUGCAAGCGUUAAUCGGAAUUACUGGGCGUAAAGCGCACGCAGGCGGUUUGUUAAGUCAGAUGUGAAAUCCCCGGGCUCAACCUGGGAACUGCAUUUGAAACUGGCAAGCUAGAGUCUCGUAGAGGGGGGUAGAAUUCCAGGUGUAGCGGUGAAAUGCGUAGAGAUCUGGAGGAAUACCGGUGGCGAAGGCGGCCCCCUGGACGAAGACUGACGCUCAGGUGCGAAAAGCGUGGGGAGCAAAACAGGAUUAGAUACCCUGGUAGUCCACGCUGUAAAACGAUGUCGAUUUGGAGGUUGUGCCCUUGAGGCGUGGCUUCCGGAGCUAACGCGUUAAAUCGACCGCCUGGGGAGUACGGCCGCAAGGUUAAAACUUAAAUGAAUUGACGGGGUC
rnacentral:rRNA from 1 species